GAGCUGUGCAACGUGCGGUGGGGAUCACGAGUAUGGGAAAUGAUCAGAGAUGGAAACUCAAGUCGUGAUUAAAGAAAAGAAAAUGACUUGCGACUUGAUUUAGACUUGUGAUCAAUUGACUUGUGACUUGACUUGGACUCUAGAUGAAAGACUUGUGAACAAUGCAAGUCAGUACUGGGAUAAGUUUUAGUUGUGCAUUCUGUCAGAUAACAUGGAACAGGCGGCGUUGUGACACGGAGAAAGUAGUUUAAUACAGAGGGCUGAAAAGCGUUUCUAGAACAUCUGCGUCAUUUGUACGUGACUGUAGUACUACAGCUGAACAAUCGUAAUCAGGAACGAUGUCAUCAGGUGGUGAAGCUUUUGUUAUUACAUUUGGUUACAAGAACCUGCAGUAUAAUGCCAGUGGCAAAAAAAUGAAAUGCGUUUUGCAAAACUUGUGGAAUUAACAUUAAAGAUGCUGGCGCAACUACAGUACAUCUAACUUCAUCCGACAUGUGAAAACUCACCGCGAAAGGUUCACUGAAUUCUGAAAAGCAAAAGGUGACCAGCACAGGGACAGAAGGACAGAGCAGCGUGUAUAGCCAGGGCCACCCCAGGCAGAAGGCUAUAACAGAGGCUAUACUGCAAGACCUGAUCAUUUCCUGCAACCUGCCUAUGUCCUUAGUGGACAACCCUCACUUUAGGCAUUUCAUGGCAGUGGUAGGUGACAAAUAUUGACCAGUAAGUAGGCCCAUGUUGACCAGGUGCCUGCAUGACUUAACACUGAACAAAAAGGCUACAAUCAAAAGUGCCCUAGAACAGACAGAAUCAGUGUCUGUCACUGUAGAUAUAUGGACUGACAGGACCAUGAGGGGCUUCAUGGGAGUAAUGGCCCAUUACAUGGCCAUGGAAGAGGGGAAAAAAAACACCCAGACUGGAGUCAGUUCUGUUGAGCUGUGAUAGACUCACAUGGUCACACACUGGGGAAAGAACAUUUGACAUUUAAUAUGUGAUAACUCUGAAAAUAUGAAAAAGGCCUUCAUAGUUUGUUUCCCCAAAGCAAUCGAUGAUGAUGAUGUGGAUAACCCCAGCAUAUGGGAAGAAUUUGGUGAAGAGUACAAUGUUGAUGUAGAAGCUAUCCAAACCAACUGCAGGUAACAGCACUCACAGUGCUUUGCCCAUUCAUUACAACUGGUGAUUAGAGAUGGACUAAAGGAAACAAAAAUCAUAAACAGUGUGAUGUUUAAGGUAACUAAACUUUGCAGCUUACUACACACUACCUGUUCUCUGACGGAAGCAUUUGAAGCCGAGUUCAGAGCCAAUCGUAGUAUCCCUGCUGCAGUGUCUACCAGAUGGAAUUCCAUCCUCCGGCUUGUUAAAGCAGCCACCAAUCUGAAUCAACAAAGCGUCAAUACGCUACUUGAGGCCCAAGGACACAAGGAACUCUGCUUAUCACAUGGAGUCAGCUAUUGGAGCUAGUGGACAUUUUGGACCCUUUUGUCCAGGCCACCGACCUUACUCAGGGAGUUCUCUCAGUGCUGCCCUUCCUUGUGUACUGUCAACUAUCAUCUGCAAAGUAUACUGUGCACAAGUCAUCACCUAUUCAGUCUAGUAAAAGCACUGCAGCAGUCACUCAAAUGCCAAUUCCAGGGGGUGUUUGUGAAUGUCAGAAUGGAGCACUCGGAUGAACAGGCAACAAAACUUACUUUGGUGACAAUGUAUACAUAAUGGCUGCACUGCACUGGACCCAUCUUUCUGCCUGUUCUGGCUUGAUCAUGAUGUCCUCAUACCACAUGAAGAUCAAGCUGAAUUGAAGGAGAGUGAUUGACCUAGCCAGAAGGCUGAGGCAUGGAAAGUCACCAUUAUGGAGAGCAGUGGUGGAGAAGAGGAACAACCACCUGUCAAAACCUCCAGACUGUUCUCUGGCCUCCUCAACAAGAUCAGCAUGAAGAAAGGAGACAAAGUCACCUGUCAAAGUAGAGAUUAUUAGCUACAUUGAAGUAUCUUCUGAUGAAAAGUAAGUUGAUUGCUUGGAUUUUUGGAAAAUCCAUGCAAAAGACUUUCCAAAACUCAAUCAGGUAGCAAUGACAGUGUUGGCUGUGCCUGCCACCGGUGCCCCAGUGGAGAGUGUUUAGUCAUGGAGGCCUCCUCAUACGCCCUCAUCGUGCCAGACUCACUGCAAGAACGCUGACAAACUUGAUCUUUCUGAAAUGUAACCUGUCUGCAAUGUAAAUAUUCUCUCUCUUAGGGCACAGGAUGUAAUUUGCUACUUGUUACAGGAAAUUGUAUUUAUGUUAAGUGUCCAGGUUAGUAAGUAUAUUUUAGGGAUAAAGGUCAUUGUUUGAUAUAUAGGACACUUUAGUAGUGCAGUUAUUGAACAGUUGUCAGUCAUUUUGGUUUACAUUCAUGCUUGUCAUUUAUCUUCCCUCACCUACAGAUUCUGUUUGUGUGACACAAAAUACCAUGCACUUUAAAAUGUUCUGUUUGCUUUUUUAAAUAUCCGGUACAAUUACUUUUAUUAAAU